rnacentral:rRNA from 1 species
AUACGGAGGGUGCAAGCGUUAAUCGGAAUUACUGGGCGUAAAGCGUACGAAGGCGGUUUGUUAAGUUAGAUGUGAAAGCCCCGGGCUUAACCUGGGAACUGCAUUUAAAACUGGCAAACUAGAGUUGAGUAGAGGGGAGUGGAAUUUCAGGUGUAGCGGUGAAAUGCGUAGAGAUCUGAAGGAACACCAGUGGCGAAGGCGACUCCCUGGACUCGAACUGACGCUGAGGUACGAAAGCGUGGGUAGCAAACGGGAUUAGAAACCCUUGUAGUCCC